AGGAGUCUCUCUGGGGAACAUGAUACCAAAACUAAGAGCCCAUACCAGCAGGAGAGACCAUCCUCACCUGUACCCAGCUGUAUGUCCAUAAAGAGUGACUCGUCUAUGGCGCACCCAAUCAGAUUCAGAAAAGGAGAUUGUACCACUGAUCCAGGCCCAUACCAGCAGGAGAGACCACCUCACCUGUACCCAGCUGUAUGUCCAUAAAGAGUGA